CUUUUCUGGGGUGGGAAGGUGUCACUUCCUGUCACUUGUCAUGACUUUUAUUUUGUCUCAUUGUUAGCAAGUGUUAAUCAGUACUGACUAUGCUGAAUGUCACCAUGAUGUCAAUGUUUGCCAUAUUUGUUGUCAUGUUACCAGGUCUUGUACAAAGUCAGAAAGUUGACCAGACUCCACGGGACCUGAUAAGGAACCUCACAGAAUCAGCUGUUGUCACUUGCUCACAUUCAGACCAGAGCUUUGAUCGCAUCCUCUGGUAUAAACAAUCUGAUGACAAGGGAUUCAUUUUUCUUGGUUAUCUCAAUAUUGAUUUUGCAUAUCCUGAAGAUGAGUUCAAACAUAAAAUCAGCUUGGCUGGAGAUGGCAGAAGUAGCGCCACACUUACAAUAACAGAUCUGACAGAAGACAACAGCGGAGUCUAUUACUGUGCAGCUUGGAGACACAGUGUGUUAGAACCCCACAACCCAGAGCAAAAACACUUCCUUAUCACGUCUCGAUAUCUGUAGUGUGCACUAAAACAGGUGAAACCGUUUUUUCCCCCAUGGUUUUUCUCUGUUGAAACAGCAUCAAGAAAGCUCGUUUCAACCUACAGACUAAAAUACAACCUUUGGCAAUGGUAUAAAAUUAGCCAAAUUCAACAUUAAAACCACAGACUUGGCAACACUGCAAGAUUCUUUGGUGCCAGAUGUAGUGACAACAUCUACCAGCAGGCGCUAGUGAGCUAGUCAUGCUAACUAGUAAAAUUUAACCGACCAGUUUAAACUGGCUCACAGAAAAGUUACACUUCUACAUAUCAAAGUGAUGAUCUGUUUUACAUUGUUGUUGCAUCAGUAACAUUUUCAC